GCUCUCCACGUGAACCGGCUUCCGGGCCCGAUCGGCUUCACUCACCGUCUUCUUUGCGGCCACCAUCUUCCUGCCUUAGGUGCGGGACAACCCCCAACCUAGCAUACACAGAGGACAGAAGAGAGGAUUAUAAUCCAGAGCGUCAAACACCAGCUAGCGGAGCUCCCCGAGCCGCCUAAUCGUUUACCCCGCAGAGCUCACUCACCAACACCAGCCGCCAAGAUGGCCGGGGAGCGAGAAAGGAAGGAGCUCCCACAAUGCAAAGCUCUUCUAGGCCGACAGAGGAUUGUGGGACCGGAAGCGGAAGAGAAGCCGGUCCGGGUCACAAGCAGAACAGCGCUUGCGAGAGUAGUCUGCGGUAGUUGGUUGCUAUGGGGACCGGGUUACAACGCAGGCUGGGCUGCUGCGGCGUCUGGGCUCCGGCCUUCGGUUCUGGGCGUUUGUUCUGCUGCAGCGGGCUGACACCGCGGAGAGCCGGAGCUCGAUGGGAGCUGACGACGAGGCCCAGGGCUCCGUGGCGAGGCGGCAGCGACCUGGCCUCUCCUGGGCUGGUCUCCGCCUGACGUUGUCUUGGGCGUGCUCCGGAAGGACCCCGGGCCGCCGGUUUACCCCGUGACUGCUCACCAGGAGCGGAGGCAUCUCUGUCCACCCGCCGCUGAUCUUCCUGUUUGCCGCUCCGUAGGACACACACCCCUUUUGCGGCGGUUUUAUACCGUGUACUUGGGAGCCUACUUUGCACAGGGACCACAAUUGAAAAAAAAAAAAAAAAAACCUGGUGAAGUGGCUGACGGGUAAAUGCGCUUGUCGCUAAGUAGACGAAUGAGUUCCAAACCCACGUGGUGGGAGGGGAGCGCCAAGUCCAGCAGGUUUUUCUUUGGCCUGCGCUUGAAUGCUCACAUACGUAUACAGAAGUAAAGAAAUAGUCGCAAUACGAAUAAUUUAAAAAAUCAUUUUGCUACGAAACUUGGGCCGUUGUAUAAAUGUAGCAUUCAAGGAAAAAAAAAAAAAACCUUGAAAGCCUCUACUAUUUACGCACUAGCACCAACGAAAACCCAGGGCUGUUGAGAUUGUUCAGUCAGUAAAGUGUGCUUGCCUUGCAAGCGUGGGGACCUGCAUUUUAUGCCUAAACCUCUCUGUCAAUCCCCAGCCCCCAAAAGUCUGGCAUGGUUGUGCACACUUGUAACUCCAUUUGUGGAACAGAUUCCCCAAGGCUGGCUAGCCAGCCAACCUAGUCUAACCUGUCAGCUCCAGGUCUCAAAGAUCUUGUGAAAAAUAAGGUGGACAACUACCGAGUAAGUACCCAGAAGUUGACCUGUGACCUCUGCCCAACUGCACAAGCACCUGUGCCACCAAAUUUAUAUAAGCAUGAAAAAGGAAACCCAGGGUAGUAGGUAAGCUGUAUGGUGAGUUACUUUGCCCUGGAGGUUAGGAAAGGGAAGAACAACCCUGCCUCCCCUUAAUUAAAAUAACUUUAAAAACAUCCAUGAGUCAUGCGGGUCGAGAUGAUCUAUACCUAUAAUCCCACCCGGAGCUGGCAAUCUCUGUGAGUUGAUCUUUUGGAAAAAGAAAAAAAACGGAAACUAAAACAUAUUACUUAGCCAACACACACACUCUAUGAGAUAGUAACUGUGUUAUUCUCACAUUUUUACAGCUAGUGUAUUACAGAAGUAUGAAUAGAACCAGGCCUGCAAAUUAGGGUUUUUUGGUUUUUGUUUGUUUUGGUUGAGUCUUUUGAGACAGGAUUUCUCUGUCUGUCCUGGAACUCACUCUGUAGACCAGGCUGGCCUCGAACUCAGAAAAUCCAGAAAUUUUACAUUAAAAUUUAUUCAACUG
rnacentral:lncRNA from 1 species